AAACCAAAGAAGUUAUUACAACAAAACUGCUCGCCGGAGUACUACUAGCCAAAGCUUAAAACUCAAAGGACUUGGCGGUGCCUUAUACCCCCCUAGAGGAGCCUGUUCUAUAAUCGAUAAACCCCGAUAAACCUCACCAGCUCUUGCCAAUCCAGUCUAUAUACCGCCAUCUUCAGCAAACCCUAAAAAGGAGCCACAGUAAGCACGAGUAUACAACAUAAAAACGUUAGGUCAAGGUGUAACCUAUGAGCUGGAAAGAAAUGGGCUACAUUCCCUAUUAAAGGACACAAA
rnacentral:rRNA from 1 species